GGGACCCUCCACAAUCGUCUCCCGGAGCUGGGAGUGGGGCUGCCCUCUUCUGAGUCUCGGAAAUGGCGGAGAGGAGCAGAGCAGCGUUGUAAUCGUCACCAGAGAGAAGAGGCAGAGGGGGACCUACUGGAGUAACUGUUGCUGAACUCGUUGCCUAGGAUCCACAAUCGAAAAGAAAAGCAUCUGCUCCCAAGGGAGACUGAAACAGAAAACAGAAAACCCAACAGCACGUGCAGGCUGCGGGAAUGGAGCGAGUGAUGGUGUGAAGG
rnacentral:lncRNA from 1 species